rnacentral:rRNA from 1 species
CAGUCGCCGCGGGAACACGUAGGUGGCAAGCGUUGUCCGGAAUUAUUGGGCGUAAAGGGAGCGCAGGCGGACAUAUAAGUCCAUCUUAAAAGUGCGGGGCUCAACCCCGUGAGGGGAUGGAAACUGUAUGCCUUGAGUGCAGGAGAGGAAAGCGGAAUUCCCAGUGUAGCGGUGAAAUGCGUAGAUAUUGGGAGGAACACCAGUGGCGAAGGCGGCUUUCUGGACUGCAACUGACGCUGAGGCUCGAAAGCCAGGGGAGCGAACGGGAUUAGAGACCCGCGUAGUCCCUGUCUCUUAUACA